UACAUGGGGUGCAAACGUUGCUCGGAAUUAUUGGGCGUAAAGCGCACGUAGGCGGUUCGUUAAGUCGGAUGUGAAAGCCCUCGGCUCAACUGAGGAAGUGCACCCGAAACUGGCGAGCUUGAGUACGAAAGAGGAUCGCGGAAUUCCCGGUGUAGAGGUGAAAUUCGUAGAUAUCGGGGAGGAACACCAGAGGCGAAGGGCGGCGACCUGGGAAGGUAACUGACACUGAGCAGCGAAAGCGUGGGGAGCAAACAGG
rnacentral:rRNA from 1 species